GGAAUCGAUGACCCGGUCUCGGGCCGGGAUGUUCACAACCCUUUGUUGUCCGACUCUGUUGCCUCCGGGGCGACCCUGCCUCCGGGCGGGGGCCCCGGGUGGACAUUUCAAACUCUUGCGUAACUUUGCAGUCUGAGUAAAUUUAAUUAAUAAAUUAAAACUUUCAACAACGGAUCUCUUGGUUCUGGCAUCGAUGAAGAACGCAGCGAAAUGCGAUAAGUAAUGUGAAUUGCAGAAUUCAGUGAAUCAUCGAAUCUUUGAACGCACAUUGCGCCCCCUGGUAUUCCGGGGGGCAUGCCUGUUCGAGCGUCAUUUCACCACUCAAGCCUCGCUUGGUAUUGGGCGACGCGGUCCGCCGCGCGCCUCAAAUCGACCGGCUGGGUCUUUCGUCCCCUCAGCGUUGUGGAAACUAUUCGCUAAAGGGUGCCGCGGGAGGCCACGCCGUGAAACAACCCCAUUUCUAAGGUUGACCUCGGAUCAGGUAGGGAUACCCGCUGAACUUAAGCAUAUCAAUAAGCGGAGGAA
rnacentral:rRNA from 1 species